GGUUCGAUCCUGGCUCAGAUUGAACGCUGGCGGGAUGCUUUACACAUGCAAGUCGAACGGCAGCACGGACUUUCGGGUCUGGUGGCGAGGGCGAACGGGUGAGUAAUGUAUCGGAACGCCUUAGUAGCGGGGGAUAAUCACGCGAAAGCGUAGCCAUUACCGUACAUUAGCCCUUCGGGGGAAAGCGGGGACCUUCGGGCUCGCACUAUUAGAGCGGCCGAUAUCGGAUUAGCUAGUUGGUGGGUAACGGCUCACCAAGGCGACGAUCCGUAGCUGGUUUGAGAGGACGACCAGCCGACACUGGGACUGAGACACGGCCCAGACUCCUACGGGAGGCAGCAGUGGGGAAUUUUGGACAAUGGGGGAAACCCUGAUCCAGCCAUCCCGCGUGUGCGAUGAAGGCCUUCGGGUUGUAAAGCACUUUUGGCAGGAAAGAAACGGCACGGGAUAAUACCCCGUGCAACUGACGGUACCUGCAGAAUAAGCACCGGCUAACUACGUGCCAGCAGCCGCGGUAAUACGUAGGUGUUGCUAAUCGGAAUUACUGGGCGUAAAGUGCGCAGGCGGCUCCUGGAAAGAAGAUGUGAACCCAGAGCUUAACUUUGGAACUGCAUUUUUAACUACCGAGCUAGAGUGUGUCAGAGGGAGGUGGAAUUCAAGGUAGCAGAAAUGCGUAGAUAAGUGAGGAACACCGAUGGCGAAGGCAGCCCCUGGGAUAACACUGACGCUCCCACCGAAAGCGUGGGGAGUAAACAGGAUUAGAUACCCUGGUAGUCCACGCUCCUAAACGAUGUCAACUAGCUGUUGGGGCCUUCGCCUGGUAGCGCAGCUAACGCGGGUGAAGUUGACCGCCUGUGAGCACGGUCGCAAGAUUAAAACUCAAAGGAAUUGAUGGGAAUUCCGCACAAGCGGUGGAGAUGAUGGGACACCUGAUGCAACGCGAAAACCUUACCUACCUGACAUGUCUGGAAUCCCGAAGAGAUUUGGGAGGUGUGCUCUGCAGAGAACCGGAACACAGGUGCUGCAUGGCUGUCGUCAGCUCGUGUCGAGAUGUUGGGUUAAGUCCCGCAACGAGCGCAACCCUUUGUCGCUGACAUGAAAGGGCACUCUAAUGAGACUGCCGGUGACAAACCGGAGGAAGGUGGGGAUGACGUCAAGUCCUCAUGGCCCUUAUGGGUAGGGCUUCACACGUCAUACAAUGGUCGGGACAGAGGGUCGCCAACCCCGCGAGGGGGAGCCAAUCCCAGAAACUCGAUCAGGGUCCGAUCGUAUUCCGAAAUCCCGACUGGUGGCAAAGUCGGAAUCGCUAGUAAUCGCGGAUCAGCAUGUCGCGGUGAAUACGUUCCGGGUCUUGUACACACCGCCCGUCACACCAUGGGAGUGGGUUUUACCAGAAGUAGUUAGCCUAACCGUAAGGAGGGCGAUUACCUACGGUAGGGAUUCAUGAUCAGUAGUCGUAACAAGGUAGC
rnacentral:rRNA from 1 species